rnacentral:rRNA from 1 species
UACGUAGGGGGCAAGCGUUGUCCGGAAUCAUUGGGCGUAAAGAGCGCGCAGGCGGUCGGAUAAGUCGAAUGUGAAAGCCCCUGGCUCAACCAGGGAGGGUCAUUCGAUACUGUUCGACUCGAAGGCAGGAGAGGGAAGUGGAAUUCCGGGUGUAGUGGUGAAAUGCGUAGAUAUCCGGAGGAACACCAGUGGCGAAGGCGACUUUCUGGCCUGUUCUUGACGCUGAGGCGCGAAAGCUAGGGGAGCAAACGGG